rnacentral:rRNA from 1 species
GCCCUAGUAACGGCGAGUGAAGCGGCAACAGCUCAAAUUUGAAAUCUGGCCUCGGCCCGUUGUAAUUUGCAGAGGAUGUUUCUGGCGCGGUGCCUUCCGAGUUCCCUGGAACGGGACGCCACAGAGGGUGAGAGCCCCGUAUGGUCGGACACCAAGCCUGUGUGAAACUCCUUCGACGAGUCAGUAGUUUGGGAAUGCUGCUCUAAAUGGGAGGUAAAUCUCUUCUAAAGCUAAAUACCGGCCAGAGACCGAUAGCGCACAAGUAGAGUGAUCGAAAGAUGAAAAGCACCUUGAAAAGGGGGUUAAAUAGUACGUGAAAUUGUUGAAAGGGAAGCACUUGUGACCAGACUUGGGCCGGGCGGCUCAUCAGGGGUUCUCCCCUGUGCACUCCGCCCGGCACAGGCCAGCAUCGGUUCUCGUGGGGGGACAAGACCGUCGGGAACGUAGCACCCUCCGGGGUGUGUUAUAGCCCGGCGGACGAUACCCUCGUGGGGACCGAGGUUCGCGCUCCGCAAGGAUGCUGGCGUAAUGGUCACCAGUGAC